rnacentral:rRNA from 1 species
UACGGAGGGUGCGAGCGUUGUCCGGAAUCAUUGGGCGUAAAGAGCUCGUAGGCGGCCUGUUGCGUCCGCUGUGAAAUCCCAGGGCUCAACCCUGGGCGUGCAGUGGAUACGGGCAGACUAGAGUGUGGUAGGGGAGACUGGAAUUCCUGGUGUAGCGGUGAAAUGCGCAGAUAUCAGGAGGAACACCGAUGGCGAAGGCAGGUCUCUGGGCCGGUACUGACGCUGAGGAGCGAAAGCGUGGGGAGCGAACAGG